GUACCAUUCAGGAUCAUGCAAACGACGCCUUCGCAAGGCGGAGGUCCGGGGUUCAAAUCCCCGCCGGUCCACCA
rnacentral:tRNA from 1 species